rnacentral:misc_RNA from 1 species
UCAAACUUGGUCAUUUAGAGGAAGUAAAAGUCGUAACAAGGUUUCCGUAGGUGAACCUGCGGAAGGAUCAUUAACGAGUUUUUGAAACGGGUUGUAGCUGGCUCUCCAAACGAGAGCAUGUGCACGCCUGACUCAAUCCACUCUUAAACCUCUGUGCACUUACUGUAGGCUUGGUGAUUGAAGGACUCGCGAGAGUCCUGAUAGAGCCUUGUCUAUGAUUUUACAAACGCUUCAGUCUAAGAAUGUAACUCGCGUUUAACGCAAUAAAUACAACUUUCAGCAACGGAUCUCUUGGCUCUCGCAUCGAUGAAGAACGCAGC